ACUACCUUUGAAAAUGUUCCCCAGAAAUAUGAUAGUCACUUAACUGAAGCUGAUGGUCAAAGAGGAAAAAGUACAAUAAAGGAACAAGAAGAUUCUCUUGAGCAAUAUCAUCACUUGAAGCCUAAGGUUGAAAUCAAAGAGUGUGUUUCGAACCAGGCAGUCAGAAUGAAAGGUGUACAAGCAUGCACAUCAGACUUGGGGCAGAUGAACUUAAUAGAUCAAGAAAAGAUGACCACUGCAGCUGCAUUUCUAUUUUGGAAUUACACUCUCCAUGACCUGUGUGAGUCACAGCUACCAGAAAACAAAGAGAGCAAAGAAGAACAAGAUUUAGAAGCGACAUCAGAGCAAGAGCCAGAAAGGCUUGAAGGAAGUGAAAAGAACAAGCCACAGGCUGAGGGAGAAAGGAAGAAGCAUGCAAGGAAUGAAACAGAAGCAUCAAGAAACCUACAUGAUGGCUCCACUGAUGACCAUAUUCAACAAGGAGAGAGUGGAGAAACUGACGGUCAGCAAAUUCCUAGGACAGAGCAUGAAGAGUGCGAUAGUAGUGUCCCUGCCUUGCAUAUGAAGAAAGUAAAGAAAAAUGAACAUGAAGAAUGGAUCACAACAGAAUCUGUGACUCUGCUAGUAUUUAAGAAGGCCGAUUUAAUAACUCAUGAUCUGCUGCAAGUGACUGAUGACAGCAGUUUAACUGAAAUAGAUGAGAAAGAAAGAAAGCUUACAAAGAAAACAUCUAAUGAGAAGGACAAGGUCAGAAACCAAAUCCAUUCUAUGGAUGGCUUUGAUGACUUAACUUGGUCAUCUGAAAUAGCCUCAGAAUGUUGUGAGCUGCCUUACUCUAAUUACAAAAAGUUUAUAUUGCUCAUUGAAGAACUUGGCGUGGAUUGUAAAGAUCCUGUUAACCUACUGAAAAUUCAGGAUGCCGUUCAUUCAUGGGAAAGAUCAAUAGAAGUUGAAAAAAAUCACUGUAAACUACUUACAGAAAAAAUGAAAAAAAUGGAAAAUGAGGUCCAUGUACUACAAAAGGAGUUAUCUGAAACAAUAGAAAUAAAAUUACAGUUAGAACAUCAAAACGAUGAAUGGGAACGAGAUUUCUACAGUUUGAGAUCUGCCUUAAGACAAGAAGAAGAGAAGAGAAAAAAAUGCCAACACAUUGUAUGAAAAAAUCAGGGGACACUUAAGAAGAAAAGAAGAGCAGUACAUGAAAGAAGUUGAAGCGAACAAACAACUUCAACUGCCUUGAGACCACCGACAGAUAGUGGAUAUCCACGAACCAGGUACACGAAAUAAGUUGAAAAACGCAGGC
rnacentral:lncRNA from 1 species